GGGCGGUGGGGAGCGGGCGGAGCUGGCCUUGCCUCCGCCUGGCCGGCGCCGCAGUCGGCGCGGGCCGCGCCCGCCGCCGUAAACUGCCCUGAGCGCCUGCUGAGGCCGAGGGAGACGUCGGGGCCUGCACCUGGAGGGAGCCUGCCGCGCUGGCCCCGAGGAGGGGGCGUUGCCAUGGCGACAGCCUCUCCCGCCGCUGACGGGGGGCGGGGGCGGCCCUGGGAAGGAGGGCUGGUCUCCUGGCCCCCUGCCCCUCCCCUUACUCUCCCCUGGACUUGGAUGGGCCCGAGUUGGGGGCAACACCCUGGGCAUUGGGGCUUUCCAGCUCUCACAGAACCUUCAGCAUCCCCAGCUGGCAGUCUUGGCAUCUUCGAAGUCAGGAGAGUUUUAGAUGCUUCUGGAUGUUCAAUGCUAGCACCUUUACAGACUGGAGCAGCUCGAUUUUCUUCAUAUUUACUUUCAAGAGCAAGAAAAGUGCUGGGCUCCCACUUAUUUUCUCCCUGUGGUGUUCCGGAGUUCUGCUCCAUAUCCACCAGAAAGCUGGCGGCCCACGGCUUUGGCGCAUCCAUGGCGGCAAUGGUGCCCUUCCCUCCCCAGAGGUAUCACUACUUUUUAGUGCUGGACUUUGAGGCCACGUGCGACAAGCCACAGAUUCAUCCUCAGCUACUCAUCGGGAGUUCCUGCCUAGGAAGCCGGACUUGGUUCAGGCAUGCUAGGGAAAUCAUCGAGUUCCCCAUCCUGAAGCUAAAUGGCCGGACCAUGGAGAUUGAGUCUACCUUUCACAUGUAUGUCCAGCCCGUAGUCCAUCCACAGCUUACUCCCUUCUGUACAGAGCUCACCGGGAUUAUUCAAGCCAUGGUGGAUGGUCAGCCAAGCCUGCAGCAAGUGCUGGAGAGGGUCGAUGAGUGGAUGGCGAAAGAAGGCCUCUUAGAUCCAAACGUCAAGUCAAUUUUUGUCACCUGUGGCGACUGGGACUUGAAAGUCAUGCUCCCAGGCCAGUGCCAGUACUUGGGCUUGCCAGUGGCGGAUUACUUCAAGCAGUGGAUUAAUCUGAAAAAGGCUUACAGCUUCGCCAUGGGCUGCUGGCCCAAGAAUGGACUUCUAGACAUGAACAAGGGCCUCAGCCUGCAGCACAUAGGCCGGCCCCACAGCGGCAUUGAAAAGAAGAAACCGAGACACAGAGAGGUGAAAUAAAAGCGCGGUAACUUGCUCAAGUUCACAGUUACGAAGUGAUGGAGUUUGGAUUCGAACCCAGAAUCUCAGGAUAUCCAAGGCCCCCUGCUGGUUCAGUCCUAAAUUCACUGCUUUGGCGCCUGUCUUCCUUCUGAGCUGCCAUUUGCGGCUGUACCUUUGAAUUGUAUCCAGCUGUAGUUUGAGGUGCUGGCCCCCAGCAAAGAGUUAUCUGGUUAGCAAAUAAAAAUGUAGGACUCCAAUUAAACCAAUUAAAUCUGAACUUCAGCCACACAACAGAUAACUUUUUAGUAUAAGUAUGUCCCUUCUGGGGCUGGGGACUUAUUCCUCUGGCAGGCCCAGCAUUGACCCACUGGCCCCUUGCUGUCAGGCAUGAUGCUGCCACGAUGUCCAGACAGACAGAUAGAUGUAAUAACAGAAUGAGGUUCUAGAAUGUCAGCACGCUGGGGUUCCUGCACCCUAGCCCAUCCUUGCUGGCCCCUCCUCCGUGGGCUCUGGCCCUGUUCCUCACCAGCUCCUGGAGAUCACUGAGAGAGGGUGCUUCCCAGGUUGGGCUUCUUGGAGAGGAGGCCUCAGAUGACUGCAAGAACAUUGCCAACAUCAUGAAGACACUUGCAUAUCAAGGCUUCAUCUUCAAGCAGACAUCAAAGCCAUUCUGAUUGGCCGAGGACGGGAUGGGGCAGGACAGGGUAGCUGCUUGGCCCAGCCCAGAACCCUCCUUUCCCUCACCAGAGGGGAAAAGGGAGAGUGGCACAGCUCUACAUCCAGAGUGUCCCCCAGCCUGCCCUGUGGGCUUAUGCCCUGGGUAAGGGCUUGGCCACUCGGCCCCUCUGGAGCAGACACUUUGUGCCCCCCUGCCCCAACCCCUCAACCUCAGCCCAGUAUUAGCCCCUCCCAUUGUGGGCCUGGGCUAGGGGAACCCAGGCACUCACCGCCUCUUCCCUGGUACACAGGCUUCUGCUGGGGCCACCAAGCCCCCCUGUGCCCCCUCCCAUCUGUAGUGCAUGGUGUGUGGUGCCCCCAGGGCUCCAGGACAGAUCAGGCCCCACCUUGUGUCUACCCCCAUCCCCGCUGUGAACGUGCCACUGAAUAAAGUCGGGGAAACAAG